CACUCUUCCAACAUACCCAUCCACAAAUACACAUUCAGACACCCUCCGCAUCAAAGAUACACCUUUGAAAACACCCACACACAUAUCCAUCCAGGAGAGCAAGAACUGUGCCUGGUUUUGCUCGCUAUCAUAUCCUCAGUACCUAGCAAAGUACAGCAUGUAUCACACACUCAAUAAAUAUCUGUGGAAUGAUUAAGCAAAGAAACACUCCAUUUACCCCAAUUCACAGGUUAGGGGGUCUGCGUGCUAGGAUCCCCUAACACACAGAAGCCCCCAUCACACUAACUUCAUACCCCCACAGCCCAACAUGCAUCUCCAAACCAUACUCUGAUACAGACAUACCAAUGCCACAACAUACACUCCUAUCCUCCAUAAUAUACACUCCGACAACCCAACACACACACCUCCAACACACGUCCACGCUCUAAAUCCAUCAAGGCCUAACACAUCAACAAACAACACAAAACACACAACACAUCAACAUACAGCACACAUCAAGGCACACAUUCAUCUCAGCACCCAACACAAUUCACAUACUACUUACAGGUGAUUUCUGUUCCCUUCCCAAACCAAACUCAAAACAUACAAAAUAAGGUCUCACACACUGAAACACAUACAAAAUGCAAACACAUCCUAGCAUGGAGCCUGCACUCCACCUCCUAGCAGCAGCUCAACCUCUCCAACAGCCCAACUCUGGGCUCCACCGCGCACAUUCCUCUUCAGCCCCUCGCUUUGGAGCUGCUCCCAGCCUACCUCUCAGGAGCAGGCUGGGGGCACUGAGGCAGGCAGUUCCCGGCAGGAGCACGGGGACAGUGUACCCCAGACCCUUCAACUCCAGCCCUACACGUGAACUUCUUGGGCAACAAGAAGCUGCUGGGCGCAGUCACCACCCCCUCCCUUUCC
rnacentral:lncRNA from 1 species